rnacentral:rRNA from 1 species
CCCUUAGAUGUCCUGGGCCGCACGCGCGCUGCACUGACAUGUUCAACAAGCCUCCUAGUUCGACAGGAUUUGGGAAAUCUUUGAACGCAUGUCGUGAUAGGGAUAGAUCAUUGCAAUUAUUGAUCUUGAACGAGGAAUUCCUAGUAAACGCGAGUCAUCAGCUCGCAUUGAUUACGUCCCUACCCUUUGUACACACCGCCCGUCGCACCUACCGAUUGAAUGUUUCGGUGAAGAUUCCGGAUAGGACUUUUUUGAUUUAUUUCAAUUCUGUCUUAAAAGCUAUCUAAACCUCAACAUUUAGAGGAAGGUGAAGUCGUAACA